UCACCCAACCAACCAAAUUACAAAAUUGCCCCUUUCUCUUUUAAAUAUCUGGCCACCAACCCUUUUCUUCUCCUUUUAACCCUAAGUACCGAAGCCCCCUCUCAAUCAAUUGCUUUUCUUUUGAAUCCAAACUCAUCGUCAUCAUUCAUCACUCAAUCAGGUUAAACAUAUCUCAAACAAGAUCUACUAUUUCUUCACAAAUUUCGAAUAACAUCUAUACAUACAUGUACAGAGGCUGAGGUGAAUCGUCGGCAAGGUCGGCGAUGGUAGGAGGAGGUGGACCGUUGGAUCGGAAACGAAUCAACGAUGCGUUGGAUAAGCAGUUAGAGAAGACGUCAUCUUCAUCCACUUCUAGGUUUUUAAACAAGGAGAAAGACAGAAUAUACAUGCCGUCAACUUCCGCCGCCGGUGGUGGUAAGUCGCAUCAUCUGAAGAAGAUGUUCGGAAAAACAAACGAGGCUUCGGCGAGAGAGAAGGGGAGUUUUUAAAGGGUAGUUGCCCCUCUCUUGCCACAACAUCAUCAUGUUGAGUUGAUCUUUCUACUUCGCCGGUGAUGAUGAUGGUAACAGUGUCGUUUGUGGGUACGAAUAGGUGGAUGUCCGUCCUCCAGCCGAAUGCUCUGUUGCGAAAGGGUGGAUCCGCCUGCGAUGAAUGGCUGAGCUAUUGCUGUGCUCCAACGACACCCCUCUUCCAGCGCGUGCACCACUAUUUCUUACACAUAGACAAUCAAUGAGGCUGAUGGUUGGAUUAGUUUUUGCAGGCCAACCAUAUCUUCGGCAGCUUCGACAUGUGACAUGUGACGGCGAUUAGGGGAAACAAGUCGCUAGGGUUUGACAAUCGCUACUCCGGCUACCCUAGCGAUGAUGGUGACCGGUGGUGUUCUAACACAAGACGAACUAGGGUUCCGCCGUAAACAUCGGUGGCGGCGAAUGCGAUGGUGUUUCAAGGCACAUUCGUUUCAUUAAUUUAUCUGUUUAUGAAGGUAGGCAACAAUGAUUUGAUAAAAUGUGUAAAAACAGAGCAAGGCUGGAUCUGUGCCAAAUUUUUAGAAUCAGAGAACUAAGCAAGAAAAUAAAAUAAAGCAAGCCAUAAUAAAUGCGAAGCUAUACGGAUGAAAAAUGAGUUGAACACAUUAAACCUACGUUUUAUAUCAACAAGUAGUAAGAGUGACUCUAUUCGAAGUGAUGCUGCGAAUUGUUUUGUUCGUCUGUUGUGACUCCCUUUGGACCGUCCCCUGCUGUUGGUAAUUUUGAUAUCCCCUGCUGCCAAAUUGGACGUCCAUGUUUGAUAUCCCUGCUGCUAAUCUAAUGUGCCACCCAUUCAAUCUUCAAAGGCUGAGCUUUUAUUUAGUUAUUUGGGCUUAUUAUUUAGUUUUAAUUGGGCUUAUUAUUGGUUUGUGUCAUCAUCACCAGCUGAGCUUAUUAUUAGUUUGUAAAAAAGAUUUUGAGGGGUGUCUUUGUAGUUGUUUAGGGGUAUCUUUUGUAUAAAAAUCGAAAAAAAAAAAUUACACUAUUGGUAAAAAAGUUGAGCCGUAGCUCAGGCUACGCCUGAAUAUAAACCAGGUCCACCCCUGUGUUGAUUCCUUAUGAAAAUGACGAUUAUGACAAUACAUAUGAACGAAAAGAUGAUAUGAAUAUAUAGUGUCGCAGGUAAAGAUAAAAAAACACGCCUAUAAAAUUGCAUCCAAUGAGUAUAAAGUUGCAUCUCACGACAAUAAAAGAUAUAUCUUUUUUUAUAUGAUUGGUUAUAAAAUUAUUUUAGUUUUUCGCUUAAUAUAAAGAAAAGGCAAUUAUAUCUGAGUGGAUUUGUUCGGUUGAAAUGUUGAAUAUGUUGUUUUAUUGUAUCAUUUUUUUGAAGAUUCCAACACAUGUCUCAUUUCAAUCAUUAAGGUAAAUUACAUAAAGAUAGCAGGUAGACGAGCAAUAAACUACGCCGCUAUCCCUUUCUGGGUAGAAAACCCUAAUCUACUAAAAACAAAGCUUCGCCCCUGAGGGGUCGAAAAGUUGCUGUAGACCACAUGCUGAACUCUAAACAAGAACCGAACUGCCUCCGACGCCAAAGAGCCGAACGUGUCAAACGCCAGGGAGACAAAGGCAUGCUGAUUAUCAUUUGCAUUAUGCAAUUAAUUAUUUAGUAAUAUUCGAUAGUAUGUUGUAGGGGAAGGAUCCACUAAAAAGUGGAUUUUGCCUAAGUAGCCUAAGAAGGAUUGUGAUGAUGACAUGUGGCACUCCUAAAAAGUAGGA